rnacentral:rRNA from 1 species
AUUGAACGCUGGCGGCAGGCCUAACACAUGCAAGUCGAGCGGAUGAAGAGAGCUUGCUCACUGAUUUAGCGGCGGACGGGUGAGUAAUGCCUAGGAAUCUGCCUGGUAGUGGGGGAUAACGUUCCGAAAGGAACGCUAAUACCGCAUACGUCCUACGGGAGAAAGCAGGGGACCUUCGGGCCUUGCGCUAUCAGAUGAGCCUAGGUCGGAUUAGCUAGUUGGUGAGGUAAUGGCUCACCAAGGCUACGAUCCGUAACUGGUCUGAGAGGAUGAUCAGUCACACUGGAACUGAGACACGGUCCAGACUCCUACGGGAGGCAGCAGUGGGGAAUAUUGGACAAUGGGCGAAAGCCUGAUCCAGCCAUGCCGCGUGUGUGAAGAAGGUCUUCGGAUUGUAAAGCACUUUAAGUUGGGAGGAAGGGCAGUAAGCUAAUACCUUGCUGUUUUGACGUUACCGACAGAAUAAGCACCGGCUAACUCUGUGCCAGCAGCCGCGGUAAAAC